rnacentral:rRNA from 1 species
UCGGGAAUUUUGGGCAAUGGGCGAAAGCCUGACCCAGCAACGCCGCGUGAAGGAUGAAGUAUUUCGGUAUGUAAACUUCGAAAGAAUAGGAAGAAUAAAUGACGGUACUAUUUAUAAGGUCCGGCUAACUACGUGCCAGCAGCCGCGGUAAUACGUGGGGACCAAGCGUUGUUCGGAUUUACUGGGCGUAAAGGGCGCGUAGGCGGCAAUUCAAGUCAUCUGUGAAAUCUCCGGGCUUAACUCGGAACGGUCAGAUGAUACUGCUUUGCUAGAGUGCAGAAGGGGCAAUCGGAAUUCUUGGUGUAGCGGUGAAAUGCGUAGAUAUCAAGAGGAACACCUGAGGUGAAGACGGGUUGCUGGGCUGACACUGACGCUGAGGCGCGAAAGCCAGGGGAGCAAACGGGAUUAGAUACCCCAGUAGUCCCUGAGCGGGCUGGCAAGGCGCAU